rnacentral:tRNA from 1 species
GUCAACUUGGCCGAGUGGUUAAGGCGUAUGCCUGCUACUUCGGACUAUGCCUGUCAUGGUCCAAGCUUGCUAGUGUAUUCCAUUUGGAGCGCAGGUUCGAUCCCUGCAGUUGACG